GAAGGAGAAGUAGGAAAGGAGUGGUUCUAAGGAGCAGCAGAUUAUAAUUUACGUGUAUAAAUGAGGAUGCCAAGAAGAAGAACGUGGAGCACAUACUAAUUUUGUCCGGUGAUCAUCUCUAUCGGAUGGAUUACAUGGACUUUGUGCAGAAGCAUGUCAACUUACAAGCUGAUAUCAUGGUUUCAUGUGUCCCCGACUCCCCAUGGAUGAUAGUUAUUACUCGAAGGUUGUCGCCAUUCUUCCAAAGACAUGAGUAGGACCAUUUGGAUUAUGCUGAGGCCUAAAUUGUGCAUUCAAUACACAAGUACCACGAAGCUGCCAUAAUUGAAAUUUACUUUCUGCCAAAACUUGUGAGGCAUGAUAUUGGUGGUACACAAUAGAGAUCUGCUUUCUAUAUGUUCUCUCUGUUUGCUGUUUUAGUUUGAAGUAUUGUGUACAUGUUUCAUAUUUUGCUGUUGUGUUUAAAUACAGCAUUGGAUUGACUUGUAGUGUAAGUAUUUAUUGGUACUUGUGGUUGGAUUAUUUAAAGGGCAUCCAUAUUUUAUCAUA